ACGGAAGGCAGCAGUGAGGAAUAUUGGUCAAUGGGCGGAAGCCUGAACCAGCCAAGUCGCGUGAAGGAAGACGGUAUUAUGUAUUGUAAACUUCUUUAGACGCAGAGAAAUAAGGGGCUUGCGAGCUCUGAUGCUAGUAUGCGUAGAAUAAGGAUCGGCUAACUCCGUGCCAGCAGCCGCGGUAAUACGGAGGAUCCGAGCGUUAUCCGGAUUUAUUGGGUUUAAAGGGUGCGCAGGCGGCGCUUUAAGUCAGUGGUCAAAGCGUGAGGCUCAACCUCAUGCCGCCAUUGAUACUGGAGCGCUUGAUUGCGGUUGAGGUAGGCGGAAUUCGUCGUGUAGCGGUGAAAUGCAUAGAUAUGACGAAGAACCCCGAUUGCGUAGGCAGCUUACCAAGCCGUAAAUGACGCUCAUGCACGAAAGUGCGGGGAUCGAACAGGAUUAGAUACCCUGGUA
rnacentral:rRNA from 1 species